GAUGAACGCUGGCGGCGUGCCUAAUACAUGCAAGUCGAGCGAACGGACGAGAAGCUUGCUUCUCUGAUGUUAGCGGCGGACGGGUGAGUAACACGUGGAUAACCUACCUAUAAGACUGGGAUAACUUCGGGAAACCGGAGCUAAUACCGGAUAAUAUUUUGAACCGCAUGGUUCAAAAGUGAAAGACGGUCUUGCUGUCACUUAUAGAUGGAUCCGCGCUGCAUUAGCUAGUUGGUAAGGUAACGGCUUAACAAGGGAACGAUGCAUAGCCGACCUGUGAGGGUGAUGGGCCACACUGGAACUGAGACACGGGCCAGACUCCUAAGGGAGGCAGCAGUAGGGAAUCUUCCGCAAUGGGCGAAAGCCUGACGGAGCAACGCCGCGUGAGUGAUGAAGGUCUUCGGAUCGUAAAACUCUGUUAUUAGGGAAGAACAUAUGUGUAAGUAACUGUGCACAUCUUGACGGUACCUAAUCAGAAAGCCACGGCUAACCACGUG
rnacentral:rRNA from 1 species